GGCGGCGUGCUUAAUACAUGCAAGUCGAACGGGGUCCAACCGGUGGCAACACCGGGGAAGACCUAGUGGCGAACGGGUGAGUAACACGUGAGCAACCUGCCCCGAAGACCGGGAUAACAGCGGGAAACUGCUGCUAAUACUGGAUAUCCCCAUCUGACCGCAUGAUCGGAUGAGGAAAUGAAUUUCGCUUCGGGAGGGGCUCGCGGGCUAUCAGCUUGUUGGUGAGGUAACGGCUCACCAAGGCAGCGACGGCUAGCUGGUCUGAGAGGACGACCAGCCACACUGGGACUGAGACACGGCCCAGACUCCUACGGGAGGCAGCAGUAGGGAAUCUUGCGCAAUGGGCGAAAGCCUGACGCAGCAACGCCGCGUGGGGGAUGAAGGCUCUCGGGUUGUAAACCCCUUUCAGCAGGGACGAAAUUGACGGUACCUGCAGAAGAAGCCCCGGCCAACUACGUGCCAGCAGCCGCGGUAAUACGUA
rnacentral:rRNA from 1 species